rnacentral:rRNA from 1 species
CCUACGGGUGGCAGCAGUGAGGAAUAUUGGUCAAUGGGCGCGAGCCUGAACCAGCCAAGUCGCGUGAGGGAAGACGGUCCUAUGGAUUGUAAACCUCUUUUGUCGGGGCGCAAAAGACGCCACGCGUGGCGUUCCGAGCGUACCCGAAGAACAAGCAUCGGCUAACUCCGUGCCAGCGGCGGCGGUAAUACGGAGGAUGCGAGCGUUAUCCGGAUUUAUUGGGUUUAAAGGGUGCGUAGGCGGAAUAUCAAGUCAGCGGGAAAAAUUCGGGGCUCAACCCCGUCGUGCCGUUGAAACUGAUGUUCUUGAGUGGGGGAGAGGCAGGCGGAAUGCGUGGUGUAGCGGUGAAAUGCAUAGAUA